GAUGAACACUGGCGGCGUGCCUAAUACAUGCAAGUCGAGCGAACAGAUGAGGAGCUUGCUCCUCUGACGUUAGCGGCGGACGGGUGAGUAACACGUGGAUAACCUACCUAUAAGACUGGGAUAACUUCGGGAAACCGGAGCUAAUACCGGAUAAUAUAUUGAACCGCAUGGUUCAAUAGUGAAAGACGGUUUUGCUGUCACUUAUAGAUGGAUCCGCGCCGCAUUAGCUAGUUGGUAAGGUAACGGCUUACCAAGGCAACGAUGCGUAGCCGACCUGAGAGGGUGAUCGGCCACACUGGAACUGAGACACGGUCCAGACUCCUACGGGAGGCAGCAGUAGGGAAUCUUCCGCAAUGGGCGAAAGCCUGACGGAGCAACGCCGCGUGAGUGAUGAAGGUCUUCGGAUCGUAAAACUCUGUUAUUAGGGAAGAACAAAUGUGUAAGUAACUAUGCACGUCUUAACGGUACCUAAUCAGAAAGCCACGGCUAACUACGUG
rnacentral:rRNA from 1 species